rnacentral:rRNA from 1 species
CACGCAGGCGGUCAGAUAAGUCAGAUGUGAAAGCCCCGGGCUCAACCUGGGAACUGCACUUGAAACUGUCUGACUAGAGUCUUGUAGAGGGGGGUAGAAUUCCAGGUGUAGCGGUGAAAUGCGUAGAGAUCUGGAGGAAUACCGGUGGCGAAGGCGGCCCCCUGGACAAAGACUGACGCUCAGGUGCGAAAGCGUGGGGAGCGAACA